AUUUAUAUAGUUUAAAUAAAACCUUACAUUUUCACUGUAAAAAUAAAAUAAUAAUUUUUAUAAAUU
rnacentral:tRNA from 1 species